UGCGGAAUUUUAGAUAAUGGAGGGAACUCUGAUCUAGCGACGCCGCGUGCAGGAAGAAGGUCUUCGGAUUGUAAACUGCUGUGGUAAGGGAAAAAUGCUAUGUAGAGUGGAAAGCUACAUAGAGGGAUGGUACCUUACUAGAAAGCCCCGGCUAACUACGUGCCAGCAGCCGCGGUAAUACGUAGGGGGCGAGCGGUACCCGGAAUCACUGGGCGUAAAGGGAGCGUAGGUGGCCUAACAUGUCAACUGUGAAAACCCGGAGCUCAACUCCGGACUUGCAGUUGAAACUGGUAGGCUUGAGGACGGUAGAGGAAGACGGAACUGCCAGUGUAGGGGGUAAAAUCCUUAGAUAUUGGCAGGAACGCCGGUGACGAAGGUGGUUUUCUGGGCCGGUUCUGACACUGAUGCUCGAAAGCCAGGGGAGCGAACG
rnacentral:rRNA from 1 species